AGAGUUUGAUCCUGGCUCAGAACGAACGCUGGCGGCAGGCUUAACACAUGCAAGUCGAGCGCCCCGCAAGGGGAGCGGCAGACGGGUGAGUAACGCGUGGGAACAUACCCUCUGGUUCGGAAUAACUCAGGGAAACUUGAGCUAAUACCGGAUACGCCCUUGGACUUGGUCCUGGGGGAAAGAUUGAUUGCCGGAGGAUU
rnacentral:rRNA from 1 species